rnacentral:lncRNA from 1 species
UUUUCUUUGGUCAAACAGAUGGAAGUGGUGCGAAAGUACCAUUCUACACCCAGGAGCAAAUGCUCCUAGUGUGAACAGUAAAAUAAAAAAAAUAGAAAAAAAAAUAAAAAACUCUGAAUUUUUUUUGUGACAUACUUUUACAAGUGUUUCUUGUGCAUGAAAAAUUUCAUCACGAAAUCACAUUCGUAGAAGUCGUGCCGAAAAAAACAAAAUCAGAGCUCCAAAAUGCUUUUGUAAGUAACAUUUUCAGAGCAUCGAUUUUGUUUUUUUAGCACACCUUCCACCAAUGUGAUUUCGCGAUGAAAUUUUACAUGCAGAACAAACGUUUGUAUAAGUAUGCCACAAAAAAAUUCAGAAUUUUUUGACAUUUUUUUUAUUUUUUUUGUUUUACUGUUCACACCAGAAGCAUUUGCUCCAGUGUAGAAACUCCACGUCAGAGGUGGUGUAUCUACUAUCUAGGGGAUGUCAAGCCACCACACCUGCCAUAGUGGUAGCCAUUGUUGGCAAGCGGAGCUCCUACAUGUUAGUAGGAAAUCUUGCCCCUGUGCGCCCGUGAUGGCUUGGCAGCAAGGGUGGCGACAGGUUCUAUAAUAUAAUAUGUUCUUCAGGAAUUAUUCAGUCUUUAGUAUUUUCUUCUUACAAAAAAUGUCACAUUAAGCGUACAAAACCGAUUGAAAUUAGAUCUCUCGUGCUUUCUGCUCCAGCCGUAACUGACUGAUUGAUCGAUCCAGAAAGGAUCCCAUCGCGGCGCUUAUUGUCUCCAUCGCUACCUUGGUGCGUGCUACACCGGUUUCUCAUCUCCCCCGCUUACUAAUUAUGGCUUUUACUAAACACAAGUGCACGUAGGAAUCCAAGUAAAUAGCAACGGCUCUUAUUAAUUGGUUACAUCUCUUUUCCCUUUGUCUCUCUCCAACCUUGAUCUGAAAUAGUUCUCCACAACAAUUAAAUCCCCCUGCUGAAACUGCUCGAUGGGUCCAUCAUUUCAGCUUCAGGUUCAUUCAUCUCUUUAAACCGACCAUGAGAAGGAGGAUCCAUCAAGGCUAGGGACACCUGUAUAUCAGCCAUGACCACCAAUUCGUAGUUUGUAUAUAGUGUGAUCAUCAUUUGAUGCCCUCACCUUCUCAAGUCGUUGUCUCUGCCACCAGCUUGCACUAUGGAAGAAUAUUUGUCUGCUCCCAAAUUUCAUCUUCCCGUGAUUCUUCUUAUCAUUGAUCUUAUGGCUUUUAAUUUUUUAGGCUACACUCUUAUCGAAAGGUGCUCGGGGUUUUAUGCACAAGGCCACCACUGAUUCGUUGUUUCUUAGGUACCUUGCUGUUCACGCUCAUCUCUUAAUUUUCUUAUACACUGAAUGAGCACACACAUCUUUUAGUCUUCUUUUAUGUUAAUUUUGUUGUUCGCAUGAAACUCACAUCUCUGAAUUUAAGUAGUUACAUUGGAUAAGCUUGCAACUUCUGUUUGGAUUAGAUAGCAUAAUAGUUUGGUCCCCUGGAUUCUUCCAUCCAAUGUAUUUCUUCAAAUAGCUAUAAACCAAGGCAAUUUCCCUGAAAAUACCUGCUUCCCCUAAGGCAAUUUCCAUUUGUAUUAUUGGCAAAGAUGGAUAGAGAUGAAAAUUCUUCAAGCUAUCCUAUUAGUCAUUCAGUCUAAUAUUUCUUACUAAGCUGACUGUACAAGUUUAACCUUUGCAAUAAUGCCAUUUUUCCUCCAUAUGCAGGACAGUGUCAACCAUGCAUGCAAGAAUCUCAUGAACUACUCUGCUUUGCUCCUAGAAUUAAGAGUACUGUUGCUUAAAUCAUGAAUAAGUGAUCACUAGGUUGAUCAACUUAUCCUCGCCCAUAUCCGUCGGUAGCAUGGUGGCGGAGGUCGUAGUGGCCGGUCGGCGGCGGCGGAACAAGGCCGGUGGCAGCGACUGUUGGGCAACGUAGCAGAAAUUCAAAAUUUUCCUACGAGUCACCAAGAUCUAUCUAUGGAGAGACUAGCAACAAGGGGAAGGAGAGUGCAUCUACAUACCCUUGUAGAUCGCUAAGCGGAAGCGUUCAAGAGAACGGGGUUGAAGGAGUCGUACUCGUCGUGAUCCAAAUCACCGGAGAUCCUAGUGCCGAACGGACGGCACCGCCGUGUUCAACACACGUGCAGCCCAGUGACGUCUCCCAUGCCUUGAUCCAGCAAGGAGAGAGGGAGAGGUUUGGGAAGGCUCCAUCCAGCAGUAGCACAACGGCGUGGUGGUGAUGGAGGAGCGUGGCAAUCCUGCAGGGCUUCCCAAGCACCACGGGAGAUGAGGAGAAAGAGAGGUAGGGCUGCGCCAGGGAGAGGUGGAAACUCAUCUGUAUGGCAGCCCCAAAACCUCAAGUAUAUAUAGGGGAGAGGGAGGGGGUUGCGCCCCCUAUAGGGUUCUCACUGAAGGGGUGCGGCAGCCCCUAGGUCCCAUCUAGGGUGCGACCAAGGGGUGGGGGGAGAGGGGGAAACUUGCCCCCCAAGUAAGGUGGGUGCGCCCCCUCCCCAAACCCUAGGCGCCUUGGGCCCUUGUGGGGGGGGGGGGGUGCACCAGCCCACCUGGGGCUGGUCCCCUCCCACACUUGGCCCAUGCAGCCCUCUGGGGCCGGUGGCCCCACUUGGUGGACCCCUGGGACCCUCCCGGUGGUCCCGGUACGUUACCGAUAACACCCAAAACUUUUCCAGUGACCAAAACAGGACUUCCCAUAUAUAAAUCUUUACCUCCGGACCAUUCCGGUACACCUCUUGACGUCCGGGAUCUCAUCCGGGACUCCGAACAACAUUCGGUAACCACAUACAAACUUCCUUUAUAACCCUAGUGUCAUCGAACCUUAAGUGUGUAGACCCUACGGGUUCGGGAACCAUGCAGACAUGACCGAGACGUUCUCCGGCCAAUAACCAAUAGCGGGAUCUGGAUACCCAUGUUGGCUCCCACAUGUUCCAUGAUGAUCUCAUCGGAUGAACCACGAUGUCGAGGAUUCAAUCAAUCCCGUAUUCAAUUCCCUUUGUCUAGCGGUAUUGUACUUGCCCGAGAUUCGAUCGUCGGUAUUCCGAUACCUUGUUCAAUCUCGUUACCGACAAGUCUCUUUUCUCGUUCCGUAACACAUCAUCCCGUGAUCAACCCCUUGGUCACAUUGUGCACAUUAUGAUGAUGUCCUACCGAGUGGGCCUAGAGAUACCUCUCCAUCAACCGGAGUGACAAAUCCCAGUCUCGAUUCGUGCCAACCCAACAGACACUUUUGGAGAUACCCGUAGUGCACCUUUAUAGCCAUCCAGUUACGUUGUGAUGUUUGGUACACCCAAAGCAUUCCUACGGUAUCCGGGAGUUGCACAAUCUCAUGGUCUAAGGAAAUGAUACUUGACAUUAGAAAAGUUUUAGCAUACGAACUACACGAUCUUUGUGCUAGGCUUAGGAUUGGGUCUUGUCCAUCACAUCAUCUUCUAUAUCUAAAUAGGAGCCCCCCACUACUUGAUUUCUCUAGCUUCUGGUGCAGCCACGUCAUCGCUAUUUCUUCUAGCCGCCCGAUCUGAUAUCGAUGCAUUUCCUGACUGCUUUUGCCUGUACGAAGCCAACAAGCUGGCCCAUUAAUUGUCACGCUAGGCCUUUCCUAUCCCCGAUUCAUCUUUUCCUCCCUCCCUUUCAGUUCCUUCGCCUUUAAUCCCUCCCCACCUCCCGUGAGCCCCUCUCCCUUCCCAAUCAACCCCGAGGAGUGCGGCCAUAAUAGUCCUCCACCAUCGCUGCUGUGAGCGAGGAAUAACAUGGCCGCAGCCCCCAUUACUUCGUGUGCGCACCGUCGGGUUCGAUGGCAAGGAGCUGCAACGACCAUGACACCGCCGGAUUCAAUGGUGAGGAGCUGCACCAACAAAUUCUACAACCUAGGUACGCUGCCCAUGCUCUCUGCCAUCUUCAAAUCUGCGUAUGACGCCUUCACCUCUCGGCUGCCCGAUGGCACUGAACCCAUAUCCGACCUAUACGACCCCGCCGUCGCAGGAUUCACAGACGAGGAGCCGCGACGACCUUGCCGCUGUUGGGUUCGAUGGCAAGAAUCUGCAGCAGCCCCUUCUGCGAUUGGAGCUCCGCUACCCUCGCUCCCUCCCGCAUCAUUCAAAUCUCGCCAGAUGUGUCACAAAGAAAAGGUGGGGGAAAAGAUGAUAUUUUGUUUUCCUGCUGCAUAAUUGAUUUGAAUCGAAAUUUGUCUGAGUGUUAAUGAAUAGUGAGCAUCUGACAUUUGUUAGGAUGAUAGUUCAUGUAAUUGGUAUUGUCUGAAGAGGUUGUAUUCCAAAAAAAUCAUCAUGAGAUUUUGGGCGUUGCAUACAUGAUUGUAGUACAAUUAUGAACGAAAAGUGAUUGUGCUUUCUUUAUUUCUUUGGUUCAUUACAGUUAUGACCUACACAACAGAUAAUUGUAUCAGCAUGCUUUUGACUGUGUUAUCCCUUCAUUGUUGUAUAGAUAGGAUGUUGACAGGGAAACAACAACAAUGGUCAAAAAAUUCCUAGGAUAAUACAUGAAGGGCGAACAAUCUAGCAAGGUAAUGUUCUAUACUUCAUAUUGUCACAUGGCAAUAGCGUCAAGACUGAUUAAAUAUUAGUCUACACAUCAGGCCAUCAUGGUUAGAUUCAGUAUGAUGGGAACCUUUACAAUUCACUUUGAUGAGGCUAAAAUGGAGAUUAUGCAACCUACAGUAAACUUAUUUACUUUUAUGAAGGCAUGCAUAUAGCGAUUUUACUGGAUAUUUUGAGCAAUAAGGAUCCAUGUUGUGUGUAGCCUUCAAACUUUUCUUACAAGUUUUAUGGAAUGAUGGCACUGUUCAUGUAUCAAAAAGCUUAUUCCUCUAUUAAACGUGUCACGACAGUUGGCAUCCUCCAUUUGAUACAAUAUAUAUGUUUCUGUUUCCUUCUUACCAAAGCAUAUGCACUAAUGACCUUAGUGUCACCAUCAUUUUCUUCACCUUUUGUACAGAUCCACCAGGGACGAUUCAUGCCACAUCUGGACGUCAGUUCACUAAACAAAUUAUACCCUCAUGCAUCUAUAUUUCUCUUCCAUUUUUCUAUUGUGCAUGGUUAUACAUUGAGAUGUUAAUAUAGUGAGAUAUAUACUUAUAUAAGGAUGUUCGGUACCUUGCUAUUUUUUCAAUGCUAACCCUGAUUUAUGAGCUUCGACAGGUACACUUUUCUGAACUCUUACUAGCUUUUGUGAUUAGAGUAUUUGGAUUACAUACAUAUUAUUAAGCCUGUUACCGAUUCUCUCUAGCAUUUUGUGAAAUACUUCUUAGUUUGACUUCUCCCGAGGAAACUUGGAAGGGAGAGAGGUUUAGAUGUUCUGUGUUCAGCAGGUUAACUGCACUUACAUGAUAUUGGUAUCUCUAUUCAAUGUCUUUUGAUAAUGAGGAUUGCAGAUUAUUUGCAAUUUCCAAUUCGAUAGUGGGACUUGCAAGUUGGUACCAUUGGCUAUCAACUAAACUGGUAUUGUUUUUGCUCUGGAUGAUAUCUUGGUCACUACAUGCAAAUAUUUUGUAGACAGCAAUUGUCUGUUCAGAGUGUCACUAUAACUUCUGCAUUCUUCUACAGUGACACUUCAUGUUGAGUGCACAUGAUUUAUCACUGCAUGUUCUAUUUGUUUUGCAGGUCACAGAUUAUGCGUACUCUUUUAAAGUCAUUUUCUUAUGCUAAUUCUGCUAAUAGGAUGGUGUUUUUAUUCUGGUAUUCAUGUUAUCAGGAUAUUUAGCUUAUUUCAGUUUGAGGAGAAAUAAGCUAACUGACCAUGUCAUUGUUUAUUAGGACAGUGUACUAUUGACCUCAACUAGAUAUGCAAGAAAUGAUUUAGGACAUGUGAUUUUAUGUAUGGAUUUCCACAACAAGAAACUCUUUCAAUUUCUUCAUUAUAGAUACAAACUAUGAUUUUGAGCUCAGUAAACAACUGAACAUAUUGAUAGUUCAUGAGCAUUUCUCUGAUUGUGCAAGUAAGCUAGAAACCUGCUCAAUUGUGCCACAAUUUCAUUCGUACAUGAUGCAUAACAUUCCGCAGCAACGCGUGGGGUAUCUUCUAGUUCUCCUAAUGAUGUGAUCCCGUUAUCAACGACAUCUAAUGUCCAUGGUCAGGAAACCGUAACCAUCUAUUGAUCAACGAGCUAGUCAACUAGAGGCUUACUAGGGACAUGGUGUUGUCUAUGUACCCACACAUGUAUCUGAGUUUCCUAUCAAUACAAUUAUAGCAUGGAUAAUAAACGAUUAUCAUGAACAAGGAAAUAUAAUAAUAACUAAUUUAUUAUUGCCUCUAGGGCAUAUUUCCAACAGUCUCUCACUUGCACUAGAGUUAAUAAUUUAGUUCACAUCGCCAUGUGAUUAACACUGAUAGGUCACAUCGCCAUGUGACCAACAUCCAAAGAGUUUAUUAGUGUCACUAAACUAGUUCACAUCACCAUGUGAUUAAGACUCAAUGAGUUCUGGGGUUUAAUCAUGUUUUGCUUGUGAGAGAGGUUUUAGUCAACGGGUCUGAACCUUUAUGAUCUGUGUGUGCUUUGCAAAUCUCUAUGUCAUCUCUUAGAUGCAGCUACCACACUCUAUUUGGAGAUAUCCCAAAUAACUGUUCUACUAUACGAAUCUGGUUUACUACUCAGAAUAAUUCGGAUUAGUGUCAAAGUUCGCAUCGGCGUAACCCUUUACGACGAACUCUUUUACCACCUUCAUAAUCGGAAAAAUUCCUUAGUCCACUAGUUACUAAGGAUAAGUUUGACCGCUGUCCUGUGAUCCACUCCUGGACCACUCCUGUACCCCUUGACUGACUCAUGGCAAGGCACACUUUCGGUGCGGUACACAACAUAGCAUACUAUAGAGCCUACGUCUGAAGCAUAGGGGAUGACCUUCGUCAUUUCUCUCUCUUCUGCCGUGGUCGAGCUUUAAGUCUUAACUUCAUACCUUACAACUCAGGCAAGAACUCCUUUGACUGAUCCAUCUUGAACACCUUCAAGAUCAUGUCAAGGUAUGUGCUCAUUUGAAAGUACCAUUUAGCGUUUUAUAUUUAUCCUCAUAGAUCUUGAUGCUCAAUGUUCAAGCAGCUUAAUCCAGAUUUUUUAUUGAAAAACACUUUUCAAAUAACCCUAUAUGCUUUCCAGAAAUUCUACAUCAGUUCUGAUCAACACUAUGUCAACAACAUAUACUCAUCAGAAAUUCUAUAGUGCUCCCACUCACUUCUUUGGAAAUACAAGUUUCUCAUAAACUUUGUAUAAACCCAAAAUCUUUGAUCAUCUCAUCAAAGCGUACAUUCCAACUCCGAGAUGCUUACUCCAGUCCUUAGAAGGAUUGCUGGAGCUUUGCAUACUUGUUAGCAUCUUUCAGGAUUUGACACUGGUUGUAUCACAUAUAACCUUUCCUCAAGAAUAUCGUGGAGGAAACAAUGUUUUGACAUCCUAUCUGCAAGAUUUCAUAAAUAAUGCAGUAACUGCUAAUUCAAUUCCAACGGACUCUUAGCAUCGCUAAGAGUGAGAAAGCCUCACCGUAGUCAACUCCUUAAACUUGUCGAAAAAUAUCUUAACGACAAGUCGAGCUUUCUUAAUGGUAAUACUUACCAUCAUUGUCUGUCUUCCUUUUAAAAUUCAUAUGUACCCAACAACCUUACGACCAUCAAGCAGUUCUUCCAAAGUCCCCACUUUGUUCUCAUACAUGGAUCUUCUCUCGGAUUUUAUGGCCUCUUAGCCAUUUGUCAGAAUCCGGGCCCACCAUCGCUUCUCCAUAGCUCGUAGGUUCAUUGUUGUCUAGCAACAUGACCUUCAAGACAGGGUCACCGUACUACUCUGAAGCAGUACCUGUCCUUGUCGUCCUACGAGGUUUGGUAGUGACUUGAUCCGAAGUUUCAUGAUCACUAUCAUAAGCUUCUACUUCAAUUGGUGUAGCUGCCACAGGAACAACUUCCUAUUUCCUGCUACACACUAGUUGAAGUGAUGGUUCAAUAACCUUAUCAAGUCUCCACCAUCCUCCCACUCAUUCUUUCGAGAGAAACUUUUCCUCGAGAAAGGACCCGUUUCUAGAAACAAUUACUUUUGCUUCCGGAUCUGAAAUAGGAGGUAUACCCAACUGUUUUGGGUGUCCUAUGAAGAUGCAUUUUAUCCGCUUUGGGUUCGAGCUUAUCAACCUGAAACUUUUUCACAUAAGCUUCGCAUCCCCAAACUUUUAAAAAACGAUAACUUAGGUUUCUCCAAACCAUAGUUCAAACGGUGUCGUCUCAACGGAAUUACGUGGUGCCCUAUUAAAGUGAGUGCGGUUGUCUCUAAUGCCUAACCCAUGAACGAUAGUGGUAAUUCGAUAAGAGACAUCAUGGUACGCACCAUAUCCAAUAGGGUGCAACUAUGAUGUUCAGACACACCAUCACACUAUGGUGUUCCAGGCGGUGUUAGUUGUGAAACAAUUUCCACAAUGUCUUAAUUGCGUGCCAAAGCUCGUAACUCAGAUACUCAUCUCUAUGAUCAUAUCAUAGACAUUUUAUCCUCUUGUCACGAUGAUCUUCAACUUCACUCUGAAAUUACUUGAACCAUUCAAUAAUUCAGACUUGUGUUUCAUCAAGUAAAUUUACUCAGUAUCUACUCAAAUCACCCGUGAAGUAAGAACAUAACGAUAUCCACUGCGUGCCUCGGCACUCAUUGGACUGCACACAUCAAAAUGUAUUACUUCCAACAAGUUGCUUUCUUGUUUCAUUUUACUGAAAACGAGGCUUUCAGUCAUCUUGCCCAUGUGGUAUGAUUUGCAUGUCUCAAGUGAUUCAAAAACAAGUGAGUCCAAACGGUCCAUUUGCAUGGAGUUUCUUCAUGCAUAUACACCAAUAGACAUGGCUUGCAUGUCUCAAACUUUUCAAAAUGAGUGAGUCCAAAGAUCCAUCAACAUGGAGCUUCUUCAUGCGUUUUAUACCAAUAUGACUUACAUGGCAGUGCCACAAGUAAGUGGUACUAUCUUAUAUCUUUUGGCAUGAAAAAUGUGUAUCACUACGAUCGAGAUUCAAUAAACCAUUCUUUAUGGUGCAAGACCAUUGAAGGUUUUAUUCAAGAGUAACCAUUAUUCUCCUUAAAUGAAUAACCGUAUUGCGAUAGACAUAAUCCAAUCAUGUCUAUGCUCAAUGCAAACACCAAAUAACAAUUAUUUAGGUUUAACACCAAUCUCGAUGGUAGAGGGAGCAGGCGAUGCUUGAUCACAUCAACCUUUGGAAAUCACUUCCAACACACAUCGUCAUCUCACCUUUAGCUAGUCUCCGUUUAUUCCGUAGCUCUUUUAUUUCGAGUUACUAACACUUAGCAACCGAACCGGUAUCUAAUACCCUGGUGCUACUAGGAGUACUAGUAAAGUACACAUUAACAUAAUGUAUAUCCAAUAUACUUCUAUCGACCUUGCCAACCUUCUCAUCUACCAAGUAUCUAGGGUAGUUCUGCUUCAGUGUCCGUUCCCUCAUUACAGAAGCACUUAGUCUCGGGUUUGGGUUUAACCCUGGGUUUCUUCACUGGAGCAGCAACUGAUUUGCCAUUUCAUGAAGUACCCCUUCUUACCCUUGCCCUUCUUUAAACUAGUGGUUUCACUAACCAUCAACAAUUGAUGCUCCUUCUUGAUUUCUACAUUCGCGGUGUCGAACAUUGCGAAUAGCUCAAGGAUCCUCAUAUCUAUCCCUGUUAUUUUAUAGUUCACCACGAAGCUCUAGUAGCUUGGUGGCAAUGUCUUUGGAGAAACAUCACUAUCUCAUCUAGAAGAUUAACUCCCACUCGAUUCAAGUGAUUGUUGUACCCAGACAAUCUGAGUACAAGCUCAACGAUUGAGAUCUUCUCCCUUAAUUUGUAGGCUAGAAAACUCGUCGGUGGUCUCAUACCUCUUGACGUGGGCACGAGCUUGAAAUCCCAAUUUUAGCUCUUGGAACAUCUCAUAUGUUCUGCGACAUUUCAAGAAUGUCUUCGGUGCCUCAAUUCUAAACCAUUUAACAUUACCGAACUAUCAUGUAGUCAUCAACACGUGUAUGUCAGAUGUUCGCAACAUCCACAGACCAUGUUCGAGGUCCAGCACACCGAGCGGUGCAUUAAGGACAUAAGCCUUCUACUGCCCGCAUAAUUUCUACUGUCAACUUUCAACUAUAUUUUCUCUAGGAACAUAUCUAAAAUAGUAGAACUAAAGCGCGAUGCAUGACAUAAUUUGCAAAGGGCUUUUGACUAUGUUCAGGAUAAUUAAGUUCAUCUAAUGAACUCCCACUCAGAUAGACAUCCCUCUAGUCAUCUAAGUGAUUACAUGAUCCGAGUCAACUAGGCCGUGUCAUAUCAUCACGUGAGACGGACUAGUCAUCAUCGGUGAACAUCUUCAUGUUGAUCGUAUCUACUAUACGACUCAUGGUCGACCUUUCGGUCUCUUGUGUUCCGAGGCCAUGUCUGUACAUGCUAGGCUCGUCAAGUUAACAUAAGUGUUUUGCGUGUGUAAAUCUAGCUUACACCCGUUGUAUGUGAACGUUAGAAUCUAUCACACCCGAUCAUCACGUGGUGCUUCGAAACGACGAACUUUCGCAAUGGUGCACAUUUAGGGGGAACACUUUCUUGAAAUUUUAAUGAGGGAUCAUCUUAUUUACUACUGUCGUUCUAAGCAAAUAAGAUGCAUAAACAUGAUAAACAUCACAUGCAAUCAAAUAGUGACAUGAUAUGGCCAAUAUCAUUUUGCUCCUUUUGAUCUCCAUCUUCGGGGCUCCAUGAUCAUCAUCGUCACCGGCAUGACACCAUGAUCUCCAUCAUCGUGUCUCCAUGAAGUUGUCUCGCCAACUAUUACUUCUACUACUAUGGCUAAUGGUUUAGCAAUAAAGUAAAGUAAUUACAUGGCGUUGUUCAAUGACACCCAGGUCAUACAAUAAAUUAAGACAACUCCUAUGGCUCCUGCCGGUUGUCAUACUCAUUGACAUGCAAGUUGUGAUUCCUAUUACAAGAACAUGAUCAAUCUCAUACAUCACAUAUCAUUCAUCACAUUCUUUUUGGCCAUAUCACAUCACAUAGCGUACCCUGCAAAAACAACUUAGACGUCCUCUAAUUGUUGUUUGCAUGUUUUACGUGGCUGCUAUGGGUUUCUAGCAAGAACGUUUCUUACCUACGUAAAAGCCAAAAUGUGAUAUGCCAAUUGCUAUUUACCCUUCAUAAGGACCCUUUUCAUCGAAUCCGAUCCGACUAAAGUGGGAGAGACUGGCACCCGCUAGCCACCUUAUGCAACAAGUGCAUGCCAGUCGGUGGAACCUGUCUCACGUAAGUGUACGUGUAAGGUCGGUCCGGCCGCUUCAUCCCACAAUUCCGUCGAAACAAGAUUGGACUAGUAACGGUAAGCAUAUUGAACAAAAUCAACGCCCACAACUACUUUGUGUUCUACUCGUGCAAAGAAUCUACGCAAUAGACCUAGCUCAUGAUGCCACUGUUGGGCAACGUAGCAGAAAUUCAAAAUUUUCCUACGAGUCACCAAGAUCUAUCUAUGGAGAGACUAGCAACGAGGGGAAGGAGAGUGCAUCUACAUACCCUUGUAGAUCGCUAAGCGGAAGCGUUCAAGAGAACGGGGUUGAAGGAGUCGUACUCAUCGUGAUCCAAAUCACCGGAGAUCCUAGUGCCGAACGGACGGCACCUCCGUGUUUAACACACGUGCAGCCCGGUGAUGUCUCCCAUGCCUUGAUCCAGCAAGGAGAGAGGGAGAGGUUGGGGAAGGCUCCAUCCAGCAGCAGCACAACGGUAUGGUGGUGAUGGAGGAGCGUGGCAAUCCUGCAGGGCUUCACCAAGCACCACGGGAGAUGAGGAGAAAGAGAGGUAGGGUUGCGCCAGGGAGAGGUGGAAACUCAUCUGUAUGGCAGCCCCAAAACCUCAAGUAUAUAUAGGGGAGAGGGAGGGGGCUGCGCCCCCUCUAGGGUUCCCACCCAAGGGGUGCGGCAGCCCCUAGAUCCCAUCUAGGGUGCGGCCAAGGGGGGGGGGGACAGGGGGAAACUUGCCCCCCAAGUAAGGUGGGUGCGCCNNNNNNNNNNNNNNNNNNNNNNNNNNNNNNNNNNNNNNNNNNNNNNNNNNNNNNNNNNNNNNNNNNNNNNNNNNNNNNNNNNNNNNNNNNNNNNNNNNNNNNNNNNNNNNNNNNNNNNNNNNNNNNNNNNNNNNNNNNNNNNNNNNNNNNNNNNNNNNNNNNNNNNNNNNNNNNNNNNNNNNNNNNNNNNNNNNNNNNNNNNNNNNNNNNNNNNNNNNNNNNNNNNNNNNNNNNNNNNNNNNNNNNNUGGGGCUGGUCCCCUCCCAAACUUGGCCCAUGCAGCCCUCUAGGGCCGGUGGCCCCACUUGGUGGACCCCCGGGACCCUCCCGGUGGUCCCGGUACGUUACCGAUAACACCCGAAACUUUUCCGGUGACCAAAACAGGACUUCCCAUAUAUAAAUCUUUACCUCCGGACCAAUCCGGAACUCCUCGUGAUGUCCGGGAUCUCAUCCGGGACUCCGAACAACAUUCGGUAACCACAUACAAACUUCCUUUAUAACCCUAGCAUCAUCGAACCUUAAGUGUGUAGACCCUAUGGGUUCGGGAACCAUGCAGACAUGACCGAGACGUUCUCCGGCCAAUAACCAACAGCGGGAUUUGGAUACCCAUGUUGGCUCCCACAUGUUCCACGAUGAUCUCAUCGGAUGAACCACGAUGUCGAGGAUUCAAUCAAUCCCGUAUUCAAUUCCCUUUGUCUAGCGGUAUUGUACUUGCCCGAGAUUCGAUCGUCGGUAUCCCGAUACCUUGUUCAAUCUCAUUACCGGCAAGUCUCUUUACUUGUUCCGUAACACAUCAUCCCGUGAUCAACCCCUUGGUCACAUUGUGCACAUUAUGAUGAUGUCCUACCGAGUGGGCCCGGAGAUACCUCUCCGUCAACCGGAGUGACAAAUCCCAGUCUCGAUUCGUGGCAACCCAACAGACACUUUCGGAGAUACCCGUAGUGCACCUUUAUAGCCACCCAGUUACGUUGUGACGUUUGGUACACCCAAAGCAUUCCUACGGUAUCCAGGAGUUGCAUAAUCUCAUGGUCUAAGGAAAUGAUACUUGACAUUAGAAAAGCUUUAGCAUACGAACUACACGAUCUUUGUGCUAGGCUUAGGAUUGGGUCUUGUCCAUCACAUCAUUCUCCUAAUGAUGUGAUCCCGUUAUCAACGACAUCCAAUGUCCAUGGUCAGGAAACCGUAACCAUCUAUUGAUCAACGAGCUAGUCAACUGGAGGCUUACUAGGGACAUGGUGUUGUCUAUGUAGCCACACAUGUAUCUGAGUUUCCUAUCAAUACAAUUAUAGCAUGGAUAAUAAACGAUUAUAAUGAACAAGGAAAUAUAAUAAUAACUAAUUUAUUAUUGCCUCUAGGGCAUAUUUCCAACAGCGACGAUGCUCUGUCUGGAUCCCGGGGCGGCGGUCCUGGAUGGUGGUGGCGUGUGAAGCUCGGACUUCCCGCGGCGGCAUGGCGUGGUGCAGUCCCUGUCCAAGGCGGAUAUGUGACGGUGAUCUGUUUGCAGAUUGGUUCGGAUCAGAGACGGUGACAAGCGCGCGGGAUCCAUCUCGGCGGCUCUCGCGGUUUGGCGAGGUGGAGUGAGAGCCCUCUUCCCAGGCUCCACUGGAGGCACAUUCUAGCAGUGGCAGGUGCGCCAGGACUCCUACAGUGGCACUGCUGUUUGCGGUUGGUCGCCAGAUCUAGGUGGCUAGAUCUGGGGCUUUGAAGGCGGUCGAGACGGUGCACAGGUUGUCGGGUGAAUUCCUUGGGACGGAUCCGGGUGAAAACCUGGUUUUCGGUCAUUGGCCGAGCCGGUGAUGACGAUGCCCUUAUCAUCGUUUCCUUCAUGAAGGCAUCAUUGAGGUACAAAUCCCAAACCCACCCAAUACCUCCGGGGGAAACCCUAGAUCAAUUGAUCGGAUGACGGCGACAUUCAUGUGCCCUCACUGUUGGGGAACGUAGUAAUUUCAAAAAAUUUCCUACGCACACGCAAGAUCAUGGUGAUGGCAUAGCAACGAGAGGGGAGAGUGUUGUCCACGUACCCUCGUAGACCGUAAGCGGAAGCAUUAGCAAAACGCAGUUGAUGUAGUCGUACGUCUUCACGGUCCGACCGAUCCAAGCACCGAACGUACGUCACCUCCGAGUUCAGCACACGGUCAGCUCGAUGACGAUCCCCGGGCUCCGAUCCAGCAAAGCUUCGGGGAUGAGUUCCGUCAGCACGACGGCGUGGUGACGAUGAUGAUAUUCUACCGGCGCAGGGCUUUGCCUCAACUCUGCGACGAUAUGACCGAGGUGGAAUAUGGUGGAGGAGGGCACCGCACACGGCUAAGGAAUGAUCCGUAGAUCAACUUGUGUGUCUAUGGGGUGCCCCUGCCCCCGUAUAUAAAGGAGCCAGGGGGGAGGAGGCGGCCGGCCAAGGAGGGCGCGCCAAGGGGGGAGUCCUACUCCCACCGGGAGUAGGACUCCCUUCUUUCCUAGUUGGAAUAGGAGAAGGGGGGAAAGAGGAGGAAGAGGGGAAGGAAAGGGGGGGCGCCCCCCUUCCCUUGUCCUAUUCGGACUAGGAAGGGGAGGGGCGCGCGGCCCCCUCCUGCCUCCUUCCCUCUUCUCCCUCGAGGCCCAUGUAGGCCCAAUAACCCCCCCCGGGGGGGGGGGGGUUCCGGUAACCUCCCGGUGCUCCGGUAAAAUACCGAUUUCACCCGGAACGAUUCCGAUGUCCAAAUAUAGGCUUCCAAUAUAUCGAUCUUUAUGUCUCGACCAUUUCGAGACUCCUCGUUAUGUCCGUGAUCACAUCCGGGACUCCGAACAAACUUCGGUACAUCAAAACUUAUAAACUCAUAAUAAAACUGUCAUCGUAACGUUAAGCGUGCGGACCCUACGGGUUCGAGAACUAUGUAGACAUGACCUAGAACUAUUCUCGGUCAAUAACCAAUAGCGGAACCUGGAUGCCCAUAUUGGUUCCUACAUAUUCUACGAAGAUCUUUAUCGGUCAAACCGCAUAACAACAUACGCUGUUCCCUUUGUCAUCGGUAUGUUACUUGCCCGAGAUUUGAUCGUCGGUAUCCAAUACCUAGUUCAAUCUCAUUACCGGCAAGUCUCUUUACUCGUUCCGUAAUGCAUCAUUCCGUAACCAACUCAUUUGGUCACAUUGCUUGCAAGGCUUAUAAAGAUGUGCAUUACCGAGAGGGCCCAGAGAUACCUCUCCGACAAUCGGAGUGACAAAACCUAAUCUCGAAAUACGCCAACUCAACAUGUACCUUCGGAGACACCUAUAGUACUCCUUUAUAAUCAUCCAGUUAUGUUGUGACGUUUGGUAGUACCCAAAGUGUCCCUCCAGUAAACGGGAGUUGCAUAUUUCUCAUAGUUAUAGGAACAUGUAUAAGUCAUGAAGAAAGCAAUAGCAAUAUACUAAACGAUCAAGUGCUAGGCUAACGGAAUGGGUCAUGUCAAUCACAUCAUUCUUCUAAUGAUGUGAUCCCAUUAAUCAAAUGACAACACAUGUCUAUGGUUAGGAAACAUAACCAUCUUUGAUUAAUGAGCUAGUCAAGUAGAGGCAUACUAGUGACUAUAUGUUUGUCUAUGUAUUCACACAUGUAUCAUGUUUCCGGUUAAUACAAUUCUAGCAUGAAUAAUAAACAUUUAUCAUGAUAUGAGGAAAUAAAUAAUAACUUUAUUAUUGCCUCUAGGGCAUAUUUCCUUCAGUCUCCCACUUGCACUAGAGUCAAUAAUCUAGAUUACAUAGUAAUGAUUCUAACACCCAUGGAGUCUUGGUGCUGAUCAUGUUUUGCUCGUGAGAGUGGCUUAGUCAACGGGUCUGCAACAUUCAGAUCCGUAUGUAUCUUGCAAAUCUCUAUGUCUCCCACUUGGACUUGGUCCUGAAUGGAAUUGAAGCAUCUCUUGAUGUGCUUGGUCCUCUUGUGUAAUCUGGAUUCCUUUGCCAAGACAAUUGCACCAGUAUUGUCACAGAAGAUUUUUAUUGGUCCCGAUGCACUAGGUAUGACACCUAGAUCAGAAAUGAACUCCUUCAUCCAGACUCCUUCAUUUGCUGCUUCCGAAGCAGCUAUGUACUCCGCUUCACAUGUAGAUCCCGCCACGAUGCUUUGUUUAGAACUGCACCAACUUACAACUCCACCGUUUAAUAAAAACACGUAUCCGGUUUGCGAUUUAGAAUCGUCCGCAAAAGCUUGCAUCGACGUAACUAUUUACGACUAACUCUUUGUCACCUCCAUAUACGAGAAACAUAUCCUUAGUCCUUUUCAGGUAUUUCAGGAUGUUCUUGACCGCUGUCCAGUGAUCCACUCCUGGAUUACUUUGGUACCUUCCUGCCAAGCUUAUUGCUAAGCAUACGUCAGGUCUGGUACACAACAUUGCAUACAUGAUAGAGCCUAUGGCUGAAGCAUAGGGAACAUCUUUCAUUUUCUCUCUAUCUUCUGCUGUGGUCGGGCAUUGAGUUUGACUCAACUUCACACCUUGUAGUACGGGCAAGAACCCUUUCUUUGCCUGAUCCAUUUUGAACUUUUUCAAAAUUUUAUCAAGGUAUGUGCUUUGUGAAAGUCCUAUUAAGCGUCUUGAUCUAUCUCUAUAGAUCUUGAUGCCCAAUAUAUAAGCAGCUUCACCGAGGUCUUUCAUUGAAAAACUUUUAUUCAAGUAUCCCUUUAUGCUAUCCAGAAAUUCUAUAUCAUUUCCAAUUAAUAAUAUGUCAUCUACAUAUAAUAUCAGAAAUGCUACAGAGCUCCCACUCACUUUCUUGUAAAUACAAGCUUCUCCAAAAGUCUGUAUAAAACCAUAUGCUUUGAUCACACUAUCAAAGCGUUUAUUCCAACUCCGAGAUGCUUGCACUAGUCCAUAAAUGGAACGCUGGAGCUUGCACACUUUGUUAGUACCUUUUGGAUCUACAAAACCUUCUGGCUGCAUCAUAUACAACUCUUCUUCUAGAAAUCCAUUCAAGAAUGCAGUUUUGACAUCCAUUUGCCAAAUUUCAUAAUUAUGAAAUGCAGCAAUAGCUAACAUGAUUCAGACAGACUUAAGCAUCGCUACGGGUGAGAAAGUCUCAUCGUAGUCAACUCCUUGAACUUGUCGAAAACCUUUCGCAACAAGUCGAGCUUUAUAGACAGUUAUAUUACCAUCAGCGUCAGUCUUCUUCUUAAAGAUCCAUUUAUUCUCAAUUGCUUGCCGAUCAUCGGGCAAGUCAACCAAAGUCCAUACUUUGUUUUCAUACAUGGAUCCCAUCUCAGAUUUCAUGGCCUCUAGCCAUUUUGCGGAAUCUGGGCUCAUCAUCGCUUCCUCAUAGUUCGUAGGUUCAUCAUGGUCAAGCAACAUGACUUCCAGAAUUGGAUUACCGUACCACUCUGGUGCGGAUCUUACUCUGGUAGACCUACGAGGUUCAGUAGAAACUUGAUCUGAAGUUUCAUGAUCAAUAUCAUUAGCUUCCUCACUAAUUGGUGUAGUUUUCACAUGAACCGGUUCUUGUGAUGAACUACUUUCCAAUAAGGGAGUAGAUAUAGUUAUCUCAUCAAGUUCUACUUUCCUCCCACUCACUUCUUUCGAGAGAAACUCCUUCUCUAGAAAGGAUCCGAUUUUAGCAACGAAAAUCUUGCCCUCAGAUCUGUGAUAGAAGGUGUACCCAAUAGUCUCUUUCGGGUAUCCUAUGAAGACACAUUUCUCCGAUUUGGGUUCGAGCUUAUCUGGUUGAAGUUUCUUCACAUAAGCAUCGCAACCCCAAACUUUAAGAAACGACAACUUUGGUUUCUUGCCAAACCACAGUUCAUAAGGCGUCGUCUUAACGGAUUUUGAUGGUGCCCUAUUUAACGUGAAUGCGGCCGUCUCUAAAGCAUAACCCCAAAACGAUAGCAGUAAAUCAGUAAGAGACAUCAUAGAUCGCACCAUAUCUAGUAAAGUACGAUUACGACGUUCGGACACACCAUUUCGUUGUGGUGUUCCGGGUGGCAUGAGUUGCGAAACUAUUCCGUGUUGUUUCAAGUGUAGACCAAACUCGUAACUCAAAUAUUCUCCUCCACGAUCAGAUCGUAGAAAUUUUAUUUUCCUGUUACGAUGAUUUUCUACUUCACUCUGAAAUUCUUUGAACUUUUCAAAUGUUUCAGACUUGUGUUUCAUCAAGUAGAUAUACCCAUAUCUGCUCAAAUCAUCUGUGAAGGUGAGAAAAUAACGAUAUCCACCGCGAGCCUCAACAUUCAUUGGACCACAAACAUCAGUAUGUAUGAUUUCCAACAAAUCAGUUGCUCGCUCCAUAGUUCCGGAGAACGGCGUUUUAGUCAUCUUGCCCAUGAGGCACGGUUCGCAAGUACCAAGUGAUUCAUAAUCAAGUGAUUCCAAAAUACCAUCAGUAUGGAGUUUCUUCAUGCACUUUACACCGAUAUGACCUAAACGGUAGUGCCACAAAUAAGUUGCACUAUCAUUAUUAACUCUGCAUCUCUUGGUUUCAACACUAUGAAUAUGUGUAUCACUACUAUCGAGAUUCAGUAAAAAUAGACCACUCUUCAAGGGUGCAUGACCAUAAAAGAUAUUACUCAUAUAAAUAGAACAACCAUUAUUCUCUGAUUUAAAUGAAUAACCGUCUCGCAUCAAACAAGAUCCAUAUAUAAUGUUCAUGCUUAACGCUGGCACCAAAUAACAAUUAUUUAGGUCUAAAACUAAUCUUGAUGGUAGAUGUAGAGGUAGCGUGCCGACCGCGAUCACAUCGACUUUGGAACCAUUUCCCACGUGCAUCGUCACCUCGUCCUUAGCCAAUCUUCGCUUAAUCCGUAGUCCCUGUUUCGAGUUGCAAAUAUUAGCAACAGAACCAGUAUUAAAUACCCAGGUGCUACUGCGAGCAUUAGUAAGGUACAGAUCAAUAACAUGUAUAUCACAUAUACCUUUGUUCACUUUGCCAUCCUUCUUAUCCGCCAAAUACUUGGGGCAGUUCCGCUUCCAGUGUCCAGUCUACUUGCAGUAGAAGCACUCAGUUUCAGACUUAGGUCCAGACUUGGGUUUCUUCUCUUGAGCAGCAACUUGCUUGCUGUUCUUUUUGAAGUUCCCCUUCUUCUUCCCUUUGCCCUUUUUCUUGAAACUGGUGGUCUUGUUAACCAUCAACACUUGAUGCUCCUUCUUGAUUUCUACCUCCGCGGCUUUUAGCAUCGCGAAGAGCUCGGGAAUAGUCUUGUUCAUCCCUUGCAUAUUAUAGUUCAUCACGAAGCUCUUGUAGCUUGGUGGCAGUGAUUGAAGAAUUCUGUCAAUGACACUAUCAUCAGGAAGAUUAACUCCCAGUUGAAUCAAGUGAUUAUUAUACCCAGACAUUUUGAGUAUAUGUUCACUGACAGAACUAUUCUCUUCCAUCUUGCAGCUAUAUAACUUAUUGGAGACUUCAUAUCUCUCAAUCCGGGCAUUUGCUUGAAAUAUUAACUUCAACUCCUGGAACAUCUCAUAUGCUCCAUGACGUUCAAAACGUUGUUGAAGACCCGGUUCUAAGUCGUAAAGCAUGGCACACUGAACUAUCGAGUAGUCAUCAGCUUUGCUCUGCCAGACGUUCUUAACGUCGUCAGUUGCAUCAGCAGCAUGCCUGUCACCCAGCAGUGCUUCCAGGACGUAACUUUUCUGUGCAGCAAUGAGGAUAAUCCUCAGGUUACGGACCCAGUCCGUGUAAUUGCUACCAUCAUCUUUCAACUUUGCUUUCUCAAGGAACACAUUAAAAUUCAACGGAACAACAACACGAGCCAUCUAUCUACAAACAAACAUAGACAAGCAAAAUACUAUCAGGUACUAAGUUCAUGAUAAAUUUAAGUUCAAUUAAUCAUAUCACUAAAGAACUCCCACUUAGACAGACAUCUCUCUAGUCAUCUAAGUGAUCACGUGAUCCAAAUUAACUAAACCAUGUCCGAUCAUCACGUGAGAUGGAGUAGUUUCAAUGGUGAACAUCAAUAUGUUGAUCAUAUCUACUAUAUGAUUCACGCUCGACCUUUCGGUCUCCGUGUUCCGAGGCCAUAUCUGUAUACGCUAGGCUCGUCAAGUAUGACCUGAGUAUUCCGCGUGUGCAACUGUUUUGCACCCGUUGUAUUUGAACGUAGAGCCUAUCACACCCGAUCAUCACGUGGUGUCUCAGCACGAAGAACUUUCGCAACGGUGCAUACUCAGGGAGAACACUUCUUGAUUAUUAGUGAGAGAUCAUCUUAAAAUGCUACCGUCAAUCAAAGCAAGAUAAGAUGCAUAAAGGAUAAACAUCACAUGUAAUCAAUAUAAGUGAUAUGAUAUGGACAUCAUCAUCUUGUGCUUGUGAUCUCCAUCUUCGAAGCACCGUCGUGAUCACCAUCGUCACCGGCGCGACACCUUGAUCUCCAUCAUAGCAUCAUUGUCGUUACGCCAUCUAUUGCUUCUACGACUAUCGCUACCGCUUAGAGAUAAAGUAAAGCAAUUACAGGGCGUUUGCAUUUCAUACAAUAAAGCGACAACCAUAUGGCUCCUGCCAGUUGCCGAUAACUUCGGUUACAAAACAUGAUCAUCUCAUACAAUAUAAUAUAGCAUCACGUCUUGACCAUAUCACAUCACAACAUGUCCUGCAAAAACAAGUUAGACGUCCUCUACUUUGUUGUUGCAAAUUUUACGUGGCUGCUACGGGCUUUAGCAAGAACCGUUCUUACGUACGCAUAAAAACCACAACGAUAGUUCAUCAAGUUGGUGCUAUUUUAACCUUCGCAAGGACCGGGCGUAGCCACACUCGAUUCAGCUAAAGUGAGAGAGACAGACACCCGCCAGCCACCUUUAAGCACGAGUGCUCGUAACGGUGAAACCAGUCUCGCGUAAGCGUACGCGUAAUGUCGGUCCGGGCCGCUUCAUCUCACAAUACCGCCGAACCAAAGUAUGACAUGCUGGUAAGCAGUACGACUUGUAUCGCCCACAACUCACUUGUGUUCUACUCGUGCAUAUAACAUCAACGCAUAAAACCUGGCUCGGAUGCCACUGUUGGGGAACGUAGUAAUUUCAAAAAAAUUCCUACGCACACGCAAGAUCAUGGUGAUGGCAUAUCAACAAGAGGGGAGAGUGCUGUCCACGUACCCUCGUAGACCGUAAGCGGAAGCGUUAGCACAACGCGGUUGAUGUAGUCGUACGUCUUCACGAUCCGACCGAUCCAAGCACCGAACGUACGGUAGUUCAGCACACGUUCAGCUCGAUGACGAUCCCCGGGCUCCGAUCCAGCAAAGCUUCGGGGAUGAGUUCCGUCAGCACAACGGCGUGGUGACGAUGAUGAUGUUCUACCGGCGCAGGGCUUUGCCUAAACUCCGCGACGAUAUGACCGAGGUGGAAUAUGGUGGAGGGGGGCACCGCACACGGCUAAGGAACGAUCCGUAGAUCAACUUGUGUGUCUAUGCGGUGCCCCCGCCCCCGUAUAUAAAGGAGCCAGGGGGAGGAGGCGGCCGGCCAAGGAGGGCGCACCAAGGGUCCCUUCUUUCCUAGUUGGAAUAGGAGAAGGGGGGAAAGAGGAGGAAGAGGGGAAGGAAAGGGGGGGGGGGGCGCCGCCCCCCUUCCCUUGUCCUAUUCGGACUAGGAAGGGGAGGGGCGCGCGGUCCCCUCCUGCCUCCUUCCCUCUUCUCCCUCGAGGCCCAUGUAGGCCCAAUAACCCCCGGGGGGGGGGGGUCCAGUAACCUCCCGGUGCUCCGGUAAAAUGCCGAUUUCACCCGGAACGAUUCCGAUGUCCAAAUAUAGGCUUCCAAUAUAUCGAUCUUUAUGUCUCGACCAUUUCGAGACUCCUUGUUAUGUCCGUGAUCACAUCCGGGACUCCGAACAAACUUCGGUACAUCAAAACUUAUAAACUCAUAAUAAAACUAUCAUCGUAACGUUAAGCGUGCGGACCCUACGGGUUCGAGAACUAUGUAGACAUGACCUAGAACUAUUCUCGGUCAAUAACCAAUAGCGGAACCUGGAUGCCCAUAUUGGUUCCUACAUAUUCUACGAAGAUCUUUAUCGGUCAAACCGCAUAACAACAUACGUUGUUCCCUUUGUCAUCGGUAUGUUACUUGCCCGAGAUUUGAUCGUCGGUAUCCAAUACCUAGUUCAAUCUCGUUACCGGCAAGUCUCUUUACUCGUUCCGUAAUGCAUCAUUCCGUAACCAACUCAUUUGGUCACAUUGCUUGCAAGGCUUAUAAAGAUGUGCAUUACCGAGAGGGCCCAGAGAUACGUCUCCGACAAUCGGAGUGACAAAACCUAAUCUCGAAAUACGCCAACUCAACAUGUACCUUCGGAGACACCUAUAGUACUCCUUUAUAAUCACCCAGUUACGUUGUGACGUUUGGUAGUACCCAAAGUGUUCCUCCAGUAAACGGGAGUUGCAUAUUUCUCAUAGUUAUAGGAACAUGUAUAAGUCAUGAAGAAAGCAAUAGCAAUAUACUAAACGAUCAAGUGCUAGGCUAACGGAAUGGGUCAUGUCAAUCACAUCAUUCUUCUAAGGAUGUGAUCCCAUUAAUCAAAUGACAACACAUGUCUAUGGUUAGGAAACAUAACCAUCUUUGAUUAAUGAGCUAGUCAAGUAGAGGCAUACUAGUGACUAUAUGUUUGUCUAUGUAUUCACACAUGUAUCAUGUUUCCGGUUAAUACAAUUCUAGCAUGAAUAAUAAACAUUUAUUAUGAUAUGAGGAAAUAAAUAAUAACUUUAUUAUUGCCUCUAGGGCAUAUUUCCUUCACUUACCCCCUUGGGGGCGGCAUUCUUGGAGAUGCACUCGGACUCGAGGGACCAGCGGAUGGCUUCUUUGGUGGAACAGUGUUUCGUUCUACAUAUUCAUGGCGGCGGCUCUUGGCGGCAUGGAGCAGCGGAGGCUUGGCGUCAGAUGUGUGGUGAUGGACACGCACAGGAGGUCGACACUGUCUGGCGUCAUGGUGGCGUCGGCGGCAACUAGACCGGGCAAGGUUGAUGCAGCAGUACAACUCUGAAGAUGGAUUGGUGGCAAGUGGUUGCGGCGGCUUCAUACCCGGCAGGCGUCCUGGUUGAGGAGCACGCCGGACUGGUGGGUGCCCAUACCCGGCAGGCGUCCUGGUUGAGACCUCAGGUCUUAGAUGUUAGGUCUGGCUUCGAUGUUUGUUUCGUAUUAGGCCCAGGCUAUCAACGCCCCUUCAUCAAAUGGAUAGGUGUAGCGACAGUUGUUGCUUAGAUGGUGGCUUUAGUCUUAUUGUUGUAUGCCUUUGUAAGGUCUUGUGAGAAUAAUUAAUAAAGUGGCCGUAUGCAUCGUCCAGAUGCAGAGACCGGGGGUCCUCCUCCUUUUCUAAAAAAAAACUAGGUUGAUCAACUUCAAUUGUAGUAAAAAAUAGCACUCCCAAUUUGUGACGACUCAAUGCAUGUAUCCGCAUGUAUAAAAAGUAUUUCUUUUAGAUAAUUUAUAAUUGUUUCUUGUUAUCAAUUUAUUUUUUAUGUUUAAGCAACAAAUCGUUACACAGAAUUCAGGCCAAAAGGCACUAUACCAUCCAGCCAUGGUCCAUUUACUAUUAGAUUCCCUACAUGGGUACAUUUAUGGGCAAAGCUACCGAUGGACUUGGGUGUACAAAAAUAUACCUAUUAUUUUUUUGAAACUUCUGAAUUUGUAUGAUUCAUGUAUAUAGAACAAUAUACAUCAAGAAAUGAGGAAAUAUGAGUAAAAUUGUAAAUUCAAGGCCUAUGUACACCAUUGAUUGGAUGUUGGAUCCAUCACCCUUCCACUGCAGUUCAUACGUGACAAGAAUGUGGAGACGCCUUAUUCAAAUAUAUAUUCUAAUUUUAUUUUAAAAUUUAAUACUAUAAAUUCUCGCAGCAACGCGCAGGAUAUUAUCUACUAAACUUUCAACGCAGCAAACCGAACGUGUCUCGCUGCAAACAGUAGGCGGCUACUACUCCACCACGUCUAAACUUUCAACAUCCUCAAAAAAACUGCACACGACGUCUCUCCACGUGCCGAGGUCGUCGACUCCUUCCGCGCCCUGGGUCGACCACCUAUCCUCUGCGGCUCUUUGUCUUCGGUUUGCAGCGCGUCGACACGCCCUCUGAAUCUACCGCCAGAGGGAAUUUGGUGUUUCAGACCUUGCGCAUUCUCCCGCACCCCGGCUUCACUUGCUGACAGAAGGCGCAGCUGGCCACGAGCUGCUUGAUCGCAGCCUUCAUGCGUGGCCAAGCAAACAACACCUUGAUGCAUUUGUCAUAGUUUAACCUAGUUUGGUAAUCCACUUCUGAGCCCAGGCUCAGCUGCACCCACCCUGACGAACAAAAUCAAAACAAAUACUAAAAAAUUUAAAAAUUCUAAUUUCUUUUGUGUGGUAGAUAAUUUGAUGCGUGAGGUCCGCUUAAAAUUUCAAAUGAUUUGGACAACUGAGCAGCUCUCGGUAAAAAAGACAAAUUCGGGGUCUAUAAAAAUGUAUAUUGUUCAUGUACUAUUCUAACUCGAUUUGUCUUUAUUGCUGAGAGCUGCACAGAAUUCCAAAUGACCUAAAAUUUGGAGCUGACCUCACAUGAUAAAUUGUCUACCAUGCAAAAAAAAUUGGAAUUUUUCGAAUUUGUUUUGAAUUUUUUUUCUAGGCGGGUGCAGAUGAGUCUGGGCACCGAAAUGCCGCACUCUAGUUAGUUAGACUUUACUCUGACAAGAAUAAUGAUAUGAUUUGGACUUCCAGGUUUGGUGACUAGAUUAACUCUGCUGCUCUCAUGGACAUUUGAAUUCUUGCACACAGUUCUGCUUGCUUUAGCAAAGACACACAAUGGCCAUACUCCUCUUAUCCGACAGUGUGGGGCUAUAACUCCUAAGAAUAUAUCUUUUCUUUUUGUGAGAAAUGGUGGCUUAAAAUUGAUUAUUGCCACCAUGUAGUUGAGAAUUCUCGGACCAGACCUUUGCCAUAGUAAGGAUCCCACUGAGAUCUGGUAGGCUAUGAUAUGUUGUACUACUAACAAAAUACAAUAAAUCUCUAAGAAAAUGAACUUUGCCAAUUCAUCUAAGAUCUUUUUUUAAAGACUGGCAUCAUUGUGCAGAUCAUGCUUCUUCUUUAAACUUCUUAAGCCUGAUGUAGCUGCUGAGUAGCACGGACGGAGAGGUUUACUUCUAGUUCUUCAGAAGCUUGCCGAGCUCCUGCAUCUUGCUCUCCUAUUCUCCUGGGAGCUACCCCUGUAUGGCUACAUCUCUGUUUUCUUAGUGAAAGGUCCAACCUAGUCUCAAUAACAAAAAUGAGAAUAUGGUGUCAGGUUUAGAGUUUUGAUGUAAAAAAUGCCAACAACAAAACUUAUCAACCUUAACACUGGAUAUAACUUCUCUGUUGCACCGAGUGGCAGGCUCGGCUAGCACACUUAAAUCAUCUUGAUGUAAUAACUUCUCUAUUGUUCAUAGUCGUACAAAUUUCCAAUCUGGAUUUUUUUCCCUAGUGAAGUUUCUAUAGAUUCUUGCAAAUAGUAACUGUCUUACUAUUGUUUUAUCUUUUUCCUGAGUAUGUGCUGCUCUUUUGACAGGAGAACAUAACUUGAUCAUAAAAAAACAGCUUAGAAAUUCUAUUAACAGAAAACACCAAUUAAUUGGUAAAUAAAGUAGCCAUGAAACUAAGGUAUAAAUAAAUCCCUCUAUGUUUGCAAGUUGGCAUAUGAAUUCCAUUAUUCACAACAUUACACGCACAGAGAGUGGUUUCUCUUGCAGCACAUGGAUGUUGGUCGAUCUCGCAAAACUUUGCGUAAAUCAGAUGCUUGACUACUUCUAUCGAUCACUUUUUUUGAGCGGUAAACCAUAUUAAAUUAAGAAGGAGUUCGGUUUACAGGGAUAAAUGAACGGGUCAUGGGGUAAACCCAGCCACAAAUGGCGACCCUCUGGUAAAGAAGACGAAAAUUUAGCUAAACUAUGAGUCUCGAAAUUUAAAGUACGGCGUUCGAAAAUUACAUCACAUGAGAUGAACUCCUUCGCUCUUGCUUGAACUUCCUGGAUCAUUGCGCUGUAGCUUCCCUUUGAAUCCAUCUUUAUCUCAUCAACAACUGCCUUACAAUCACAAGCGAUAACAAUAUGCUGUUGCGAUAGAUCAAGUGCAAGUGCUAGAGCUUCACGAACAGCUAGGGCUUCCAAAGUUGCCGGGUCAUGGAUGUUGCUAAACGCCAUUGCUGAAGAGCCCAGAUAAUUACCUUCAUGAUCUUUGCAGAGCGCCGCUGAAGCUCCCCCUCUUCCAUCCCUGGACAAACCACCAUCCACAUGUAUCUUCACCACUCCCGGUCCUGGUGCUUUCCACACCAAACCAGGAUCAGUUCUCCUCGUUGAUGAAAGUGUCAAACAUGCAUCAUAUCUGGCCGCACCUAGCCGCACCUAUCUUGUUUGCUUCCGUUGUUAGGAGUCCUAGUUAGAUAGACUAGGUUGUUGAGGUUUAUCUCUAUCUAAGAUCUUCCUUUCUCUUCAAGAUGUAAUCUCCAACAACUUUGUAUGCGCUGUACAGGGAGGUGCGCCCCUGCUAUAUAAACACGUACACGUCGCCCACAUCGGGCAAGACGUUUCCGCCAUCGCACAUGGUAAUCAGAGCCUUCCUCUUCCAACCUAGCCUCCCGAUUGCAUCUAAUGCAUAGCUAUGUUUUCAUCCUCCGGCGCCUCGCCUAGCCUCAAUGGCCAGGUCACCGAGAAGCUCAAUCGCACGAACUACGUGCUAUGGCGCACGCAGGUCACACCCCACCUGCGGGGCGCCGGUGUCUUUGGCUACGUCGACGGCACCACGCCGGAGCCGGUCAGACUCCACGGCACGAAGGACAAGGUCGGCAAGGAGACUUCUGCGCCCAACCCUCUCCACCCACUUUGGGUCCGGGAGGACCAACAGGUGCUUGGCUAUUUGCUGAGUACCCUCUCCAAGGAGGUGCUGGUCGCGGUCAACGCGAUCACCACGGCGCGCGAACUCUGGGUGGCACUGGCGGGCAUGUUCUCGUCCCAGUCACUCAGCCGCGUCAACAACAUCAGGACUGCGCUCAUCAACGCGCAGAAGGGCAACCAGUUGGUAGCCUCCUACUUCACCUCCCUCCGCAGCCUCGCCGAUGAACUCGCCACCGCGGGCAAGCCUAUCCAGGACGACGAACUGAUCUCGUACAUUCUCCAUGGCCUCGACAUCGACUACCAGCCGCUCGUCUCCGCCCUCGACGCCCGCGUCACGCCCGUCACCAUCGACGAGCUCUACGCCAUGCUGAGUAAUUUUGAUCAGCGCAUGGCUUCAAGGAAAUAUGCCUUAGAGGCAAUAAUAAAGUUAUUAUUUAUUUCCUUAUAUCAUGAUAAAUGUUUAUUAUUCAUACUAGAAUUAUAUUAACCAGAAACAUGAUACAUGUGUGAAUACAUAGACAAACAUAUAGUCACUAGUAUGCCUCUACUUGACUAGCUCAUUAAUCAAAGAUGGUUAUGUUUCCUAACCAUAGACAUAUGUUGUCAUUUGAUUAAUGGGAUCACAUCAUUAGGAGAAUGAUGUGAUUGACAUGACCCAUUCUGUUAGCCUAGCACUUGAUCGUUUAGUAUAUUGCUAUUGCUUUCUUCAUGACUUAUACAUGUUCCUGUAACUAUGAGAUUAUGCAACUCCCGUUUACCGGAGGAACACUUUGGGUGCUACCAAACGUCACAACGUAACUGGGUGAUUAUAAAGGAGUACUCCAGGUGUCUCCAAAGGUACAUGUUGGGUUGGCGUAUUUCGAGAUUAGGUUUUGUCACUCUGAUUGUCGAAGAGGUAUCUCUGGGCCCACUCGGUAAUGCACAUCACUAUAAGCCUUGCAAGCAUUGCAACUAAUGAGUUAGUUGCGAGAUGAUGCAUUACGGAACGAGUAAAGAGACUUACCGAUAACGAGAUUGAACUAGGUAUUGGAUACCGAUGAUCAAAUCUCGGGCAAGUAACAUACCGAUGACAAAGGGAACAACGUAUGUUGUUAUGCGGUUUGACCGAUAAAGAUCUUCGUAGAAUAUGUAGGAGCCAAUAUGAGCAUCCAGGUUCCGCUAUUGGUUAUUGACCGAAAACGGUUCUCGGUCAUGUCUACAUAGUUCUCGAACCCGCAGGGUCCGCACGCUUAAGGUUUCGAUGACAGUUAUAUUAUGAGUUUAUGAGUUUUGAUGUACCGAAGGAGUUCGGAGUCCCGGAUGAGAUCGGGGACAUGACGAGGAGUCUCGAAAUGGUUGAGACGUAAAGAUCGAUAUAUUGGACGACUAUAUUCGGAGUUCGGAAAGGUUCCGAGUGAUUCGGGUAUUUUUCGAAGUACCGGAGAGUUACGGGAAUUCGUCGGGGAGUAUAUGGGCCUUAUUGGGCCAUACGGGAAUAGAGGAGAGAGACCAAAAGGAAGGAGGCCUGCGCCCCCCCUCUGGUCCGAAUUGGACAAGGGGCGCAGCCCCCUUUUCCUUCUUCCUCUCCCCCUCUUUCCCCUUCUCCUACUCCAACAAGGAAGGAGGGAGUCCUACUCCCGGUGGGAGUAGGACUCCCCUUGGUGCGCCCCCUCCCCCUUGGUCCUUUAUAUACAGGGGCAGGGGGGCACCCCACAACACACAAGUUGAUCUACGUGAUCGUUCCAUAGCCGUGUGCGGUGUCCCCCUCCACCAUAUUCCACCUCGGUCAUAUCGUCGCGGAGUUUAGGCGAAGCCCUGCGCCGGUAGAACAUCAUCAUCGUCACCACGCCGUCGUGCUGACGGAACUCAUCCCCGACACUUUGCUGGAUCGGAGUACGGGGAUCGUCAUCGAGCUGAACGUGUGCUGAACUCGGAGGUGCCGUACGUUCGGUACUUGGAUCGGUCGGAUCGUGAAGACGUACGAGCGAAAAGUCAUCAGUUCCCUUAUCCUAUAUCUACUAGUGUUUCUACCAAACCAUUACAAUUAAUCUUCUCUGAUGUUUGGGGCCCUGCCCCCAGUUCCAUUGGUAGACAUACUUAUUAUGUGAGCUUCAUAGAUGACUGCAGUAAAUUCUCCUGGAUCUAUCUUCACAAACGAAGAUCAGAUGUCUUUCAAGUUUUUCAAAACUUUCAAGCUCUCGUUGAACGAAAAUUUGAUAGUAAGAUCAUUGCAGUUCAAUCUGAUUGGGGAGGGGAAUACGAGAAAUUGAAGUUGUUUUUUCCAAACCCUUGGCAUAUCACACCAUGUGUCAUGCCCUCACGCUCACCAACAAAACGGCUCCGCCGAACGCAAGCACAGACAUAUACUUGAGGUUGGGUUAGCCCUCCUAGCUGGUGCAUCCAUGCCUCUCAAGUUCUAGGAUGAGGCUUUCCUCACGGCUGUUCAUAUCAUAAACAUGCUCCCUAGUCGAGUCAUUAACAAUGAAACUCCACUAGAACGACUCCUUCAUAUUAAACCCGACUACAAAUCCCUUCGUGUCUUUGGAUGUGCCUGUUGGCCCAACCUUCGGCCUUACAACAAAUGCAAGCUCAUGUUUCGCUCAACCUUCAUGCACUUCUUCGCCAAGAAAUCCUCCUUUUGCCUCCUCAUCUGUCCAGUGUUGAUCAAGGGGGAAACGAUUGUGACAAUGAUUAACUGUUGACUAACCCUCUUACUGAUGAUAUACAUGAGCCGUGUGGUGUUACAGGUGAAAACAGCAAAGAAAAUGACGAAAGCAGAGAAGAAAAUGGUGAAAAAACCCCUCAACCGGAGCCAUAUUUCAUGUGCUCGAAAUCUGGAGACAAAUCCUCCUCGGGAUAUGUUCGCCUGCAGGGAAUCAGAUCCUCCUCGGGAUCAGUGGCAGCAGACGCUCCAGGGGCGCAGACUGCAUGCGCACCCGCCUCGGUCCAGGCGCGCGCCCCGUCGUCGUCCGCGGGCUGCAGCACGCAAUCGCCUCCGCUUCAAUCGCUAUCUGCCACGUGUCGUCGCACAACUGGCGCGGGUGGCGCACGCUUCUCCAGCCAGCCCGUAUGCUACAAGCGGCGCCCCCCGCCUCGCCCGACAGAUGUGGGACCCGAAGCUGGCGCGAGAUCCAGCAUCGAUGCGCACGCGCCCACGCAACCCGACCAGUGCGCGAUCCGAGGCUGAUUCGCUAUCAUGUGGUCAUGAUGAGUCUGCCUCUCCGGCGGGAUCUUCUGCGGAGCCUGCGCGUGCACGGCUGCUGGAUUCUGCCACAUAAAAUCCAAGCGAGGCAGAACCUGCCACUGGACUGCGCGGAUCUUCCUUGGGAUCAGCUCUUGCAGCAACUCCUGUUUGCGCUGCGGGAUCUUCUGCGGCUGUGGUGGCCAAAAAUUUGGUUGUUUCUCCGCGGCGUAUAAGACUACAAAAGGGAGUAAUGCAAGCUGUUGAUUACAAAUGUGUAACAAAAUAUGGCAUGGUUUGUUCUACAGGUGAACCAGGUGAACCUCAUACUCUAGAAGAAGCACUUGGUGAUGAAAAAUGGCAUAAAGCUAUGAAUGAAGAAUACAUGGCUCUAAGGAAAAAAUAACACAUAGCACUUAAUUCCUCCACAACAAGGUAAAAAUUUAAUUGAUUGCAAGUGGGUUUUCAGGAUCAAGAGAAAAUCAGAUGGAACUAUUGAUCAUUACAAAGCUAGGUUAGUUGCGAAGGGGUUUAAACAACGAUAUGGUAUUGACUAUGAGGACACUUUUAGUCCAGUUGUUAAAGCUGCAACUAUUCGUCUAGUUUUGUCUAUUGCUGUUUCUAGGGGAUGGAGUCUCAGACAGUUAGACGUACAGAACGCGUUUCUUCAUGGUGUUCUGGAAGAGGAAGUAUACAUGAAACAACCUCCUGGGUUUGAAAGCAAAAAAACUCCCUCCUAUGUGUGUAAGCUUGACAAGACACUCUAUGGGUUGAAACAAGCACCGAGAGCAUGGUACUCUUGACUUUGCCAUAAAAUGCAAGCACUUGGCUUUAUUCCAUCAAAAUCUGACACUUCUUUGUUCAUCUACAACAAGUCCAACACAUGCAUAUUUGUUUUAAUAUAUGUUGAUGAUAUCAUUGUGACAAGCUCAUCAAAUGAGGCAAUCACAGGACUGUUGAAAGAUUUGAGUGCAGAUUUUGCUCUAAAAGAUCUUGGUGACUUGCACUAUUUUCUUGGAAUUGAAGUGGAGAAGCAUACAGGUGGACUUCAUCUCUCUCAGGAAAAGUAUGCAACUGAUCUGGUAAAAAAGGCUGGUCUACAAGGAUGUAAGCCCACGCCUACUCCAUUAUCCAGCUCAGAAAAACUAUCUCGCACAGAAGGUAAUCUUUUGAGCCAAGAAGAUAGCACAAAGUAUAGAAGCCUAGUAGGAGCACUUCAAUAUCUUACUCUGACCAGGCCUGAUAUAUCUUUUGCUGUCAACAAAGUAUGCCAGUUUUUUCAUGCACCUACAAAUGUUCAUUUCACUGCUGCAAAACGUAUAGUAAGAUAUGCCAAAGGAACUUUGAGCAUUGGUCUCGAUUUCAGCAAAUCAUCCUCUAAUCUGGUAAGUGCCUUUUCUGACUCAGAUUAGGCAGGAUGUUUGGAUGACAGGUGCUCCACUGGUGGCUUUGCAAUCUUUUUUGGGCCACAUUUGAUCUCAUGGUGUGCUCGAAAACAAGCUACUGUCUCCAGAUCUAGUACAGAGGCAGAAUAUAAAGCACUUGCAAAUGCUACAGCUGAAAUUAUAUGGGUCCAAUCCAUGUUGAAAGAACUGGGUAUAAAGAACACACCAGCUCCAUGUCUGUGGUGUGACAAUCUUGGUGCAACUUAUUUGUCUGCUAACCCAGUUUUUCAUGCCAGAACAAAAGAUAUUGAAAUAGAUUUUCAUUUUGUUCGAGAGAGAGUUGCUCAAAAGCAACUUGAUAUUCGCUUCAUUCACUCCAAAGAUCAGCUUGCAGAUGGUUUUACCAAGGCUUUGCCUGUGAGAAGCUUUGAGAACUUCAGAUAUAAUCUCAACUUAAUGAAGUUGUGAUUAAGGGGGGGGUGUCAAACAUGCAUCAUAUCUGGCCGCACCUAGCUGCACCUAUCUUGUUUGCUUCCAUUGUUAGGAGUCCUAGUUAGAUAGACUAGGUUGUUGAGGUUUAUCUCUAUCUAAGAUCUUCCUUUCUCUCCAAGAUGUAAUCUCCAACAACUUUGUAUGCGCUGUACAGGGAGAUGUGCCCCUGCUAUAUAAACACGUACACGUCGCCCACAUCGGAUAAGACGUUUCCGCCAUCGCACAGAAAGACCUUGUUGAACCGGCCUCCGCGGCACAACCUCAAUCGUUUCAAGCUUCGUAAUGAAGGAAUUGACGAAAGAAUGAGUGACAUGUGGACUCUGAAGAAUCCCCUCGUGUAUGGCAUUCCGGCGCGCAGUCCAAAUUGCUCAUAAAGUUACCACUACCUUGAUUAAAAGUGCAUGUGGUAAUCAGUCCUGGUGGUAAUCAUAUUGAAAAUCCAUAUCUUGGCAUUUUCCUCCCUCGUGGCUUGCAUGUGAUUAGUCAUCUCGUCAUCCGCUAGUGUCCAAACGCAUCGAGCCAUGGAACACUCCAGGAGCGAGUGUCGCCAUGAGUCCUGUGAUCCGCACAACUGACAUUUGUCAUUUUUCGCCAUCUUCCCGUUGAGACGCACAUCCUCAAUAGAAAUUGAAUGCCUAGCCAGUCUCCACAGGAAGCUACGUAUUUUUCCCAGAACCCGAAUAGACCAUAGAGAUGACCAAGCCUUUCCUUCUGCCUCAUAAUCAAUCACUUAAAAGAAGUUAGAUGAUGCGCUGGAAGAUGCACACGAGAAGCAAGCCGAAAUCACUAGUUAAGGAGUAUUCCUUGCGGAGAUUACUCCAACUUCUUCAGGUUGCGACAAGUGGCGCGCUACAUGUGCGCCACUUAUUGCAACCUGGGAGUUUUCCCUUUUUUCGUAGAUUCGUUUAUUCAAAACGUUUUAUCUCUUAAACCGUGCGUCCAAAUCUCGAACCGCUUUCGCCGUUGGAUUCCUCGCGUCGAGAUCUUCAAAACUAGACCCCAUGUUGAUAGGUUUUGACGAACUUUUUUUUCACGAAAAAACCGGACGAAAAAAACCGACGAAAAAACCGAACUGGGAACACGGGUUUUUUCCCCUUUCCGAAAAAGGCACGCCCGUGCCUCUGACGAAAUCACAACCGUGCCUCUCGCGGAAGCAAAACCGUGCCUCUCGCGAAAUAAGAAAAAAUAGAAAAUGCGUUUUUUCCCUUUUCGAAAGAGGCAUGCCCGUGCCUCUCGCGAAAAGUACAACCGUGCCUCUCGCGAAAGAAAAAAACAGAAAACACGUUUUUUCCCUUUCCGAAAGAGGCACACCCGUGCCUCUCGCGAAAGCACAACCGUGCCUCUCGCGAAAGCACAACCGUGCNNNNNNNNNNNNNNNNNNNNNNNNNNNNNNNNNNNNNNNNNNNNNNNNNNNNNNNNNNNNNNNNNNNNNNNNNNNNNNNNNNNNNNNNNNNNNNNNNNNNNNNNNNNNNNNNNNNNNNNNNNNNNNNNNNNNNNNNNNNNNNNNNNNNNNNNNNNNNNNNNNNNNNNNNNNNNNNNNNNNNNNNNNNNNNNNNNNNNNNNNNNNNNNNNNNNNNNNNNNNNNNNNNNNNNNNNNNNNNNNNNNNNNNNNNNNNNNNNNNNNNNNNNNNNNNNNNNNNNNNNNNNNNNNNNNNNNNNNNNNNNNNNNNNNNNNCUUUCCGAAAGAGGCACGCCCGUGCGUCUCGCGAAAGCACAACCGUGCCUCUCGCGGAAGCAAAACCGUACCUCUCAUGAAAGAAAAAAACAGAAAACAUGUUUUUUUUCGUUUCCAAGAGGCACGGACAUGCCUCUCGCGAAAGCACAACCAUGCCUCUCUCUAAAACAAAACCGUGACUCUCGCAAAAAAAAACGUUUUUUUUCGCAAAAAAAUUAUUUUUUUCAAAAUUAUUUUUUGGUCGAAAAGCUAGGGACAACCGGUAGAAAACUAAACCGUCAAAAAAACAAAAAAAACCCGUUUAAAAAGCCGAAAACGCGUGCGAAAAAAUAAAGAAAAACAAAAUCCGAAGGGAGUGCCCAGAGCGCGACAUGUGGCAAAUGGCUGAGAGCGCGCCAAGUGGCGCUGAUCCUUGCGAGGCUCCCGAAGGAACGCUCGUUAAUUAGUUGCUCCCGAAGCAAGCCCACAUCAACAAGAUGCAAGCCCAAAUAAGAAAAAUUAAUAAGCUCUGUGUUGGGGAUAACCCGGGGAUCAUAUUUGGCGCGCGGGUCGUUGGUUAGCGACAGCGCACGCACCCCAUGCUUUCGGCUGCAUACAUUUGGUCCGGUCCAACUACCUCGUUUCCAGUUAUUGGAAACCGUUUUUUUUUCUCCUGGAAAGGAGGGCCAAGGUAGACGAGUUUCCCCUAGGCGAUACACUAGGGUCUUGACGUCUUUCGGCGAUCCUCGCCGGAAUCUUGUUUUGCGGCGCCGUCCUCGAGCGAGGCUGAUCCUCCUGACUCGGGCUGACAAAGGGGGUUCCGAGUGAUCCUUCCCGGCCUUGGACGGGGGGCAGACCGCGGUUGGGAAAGCGCUGGUUCGUGUGGACAGAUCGGAUCGAGACGAUGUCAGAGGACAGGGGCACGCAAAGGGAGAAGGGGAAGGAGUCGACCGAGGAUCUACUAGCACGCCUCACCCUGCAGGAGGAGGAAGAAGAUGAUUUUGUGUGGGAGGAAGAGCUACCAGAUCUACUGGAGCCGGCGAAGUGGCUGGCGAUUGCGAGGGUGCAUACCCGAAAAACCUUCAGCCCUAACGCAUUGUAUGGCGACAUGAGGGCGGCCUGGAAUCCAGCUAAGCCGGUAGCAUGGAGGAAGAUCAGGGAUAACCUGUUCUCGGCGUAGUUUGGAUGUCUUGCAGAUUGGAAGAAAGCCAUGUACGAAGGGCCAUGGUUGUUCAGGGACCAGGCCGUGAUAUUGGAAGAGUACGACGGAUUCAAAAACCCUGAUUCGUUCAAACUGGAUAGAAUUGAGGUAUGGGCUCAGAUCCAUCGACUUCCGGAUAAUUUCUUGAUCGAGCCGGCAGUUAAGGGGCUAGCAUCGAGGAUCGGCGAGGUGGUAGAGAUAUAGCUAAAGCUGCCAACCGGAUUUUUUGGUGAAUUCGUGAGAGUGAGGAUCAAGAUUGAUGUUAAUGCAAAGAUCAAAAGGUUUGUAACCGGAAAAAAGGGCGAGGAGAGGGUCAGGUAUCCAGUCAAGUAUGAGAAGCUACCUAUUUUCUGUUACAAUUGUGGAGAGUUCGGGCAUUGGCAUGAAGAAUGCGGUGAUGGGGUGCAUGACGAAGCUGCUUUUGAGUGGGGAGACUUCUUACUUGCAGAUAAUGUUAGAGUUAGAGCUCCGGGGCGCGGUUUUGCUCAAACACAGAGGGGGAGAGGAAGCUUUGCGAGGGGGGGGGGGUAGGGGCGGGGAUUUCAACCCAAACCAGAGCUGGCGCUUCAACGCCCGGCCACCGCAGCCCCAUGAAGAAGCAUCAGGAUCAAAUGGACAUCAAGGAGGACGGGAGACCAUGAAGACAAACCAGUAUGUUUUGCAACGGCAGUCGCAGCCUCUGGAUCAAGACAGAGGAAAAAAUAAAGCUUCCAUGAGCGGCAACAAUGGAGGAUCAGACGGGCUAGAGGGGAUGAGAACGAACACAUCUAUGGAGGGUACAAAUGGAAUAGCUGGAGUCUCGGUCAAGCGUCCCUCGGCGGACAACACGGCACCUAUGUUGCCCGAGUCAAUGGUAGAAAAGGGAGGGGCUGUUGUAGCAGAAAACGUGUCCACAGCAUUGGUGGUGAGGGAGAAGCCGACGGGGGUGCCUCCGAUGCCCCCAGUAUAUUUUUCGCCCAGGAAGGAAGUGAAGAGACCAAAGAAAGGUGAAUGUCAGGGAAGGAAGCUGGACAGCAUGGGAAUGCAGGUUUUUGAAGUGGAAGGGGUUAGAAAGGAAGGAGGAAACGAAGCAAACAAAGCAGCAUCGGCGGGCUCCCGUGAGGAGUACCGCCGGGAACAAUGAGUAUCAUCUGCUGGAACUGUCGAGGUUCGGGCAAAGCCUCGACAGUUCGUGAACUUCGUGAGAUCGUGAAGAAUUUUGCCCCUACCUUACUUUGUAUUCUAGAAACUCAAAUCAACAAAGUUAGGGUAGAAAGGCUAGCUACUUCUAUUGGUUUUGAUAAAGGAUAUGCCGUAAGCAGUGUUGAUAGAAGCGGAGGCAUCGAUUUGUUUUGGAAUAACGCAAUAAAUAUUGAUAUUAUGGGCUAUUCUGGCUAUCAUUUGGAUUGUGAGGUGCGUGACCCGGGUUUUGACCCGUGGAGGCUAACUAUGGUGUAUGGUGAGGCUCAAACUCACUUGAGAUACCAGACAUGGGACACUAUGAGAAACAUAGCAAAUUUAAGCACUCUGACAUGGCUCUGUAUCGGAGAUUUUAACGAAGUUUUACGUCCAGAAGAACAUGAGGGGGUUGGAGAGAGGAGUAAUGCUCAGAUCCAAGGUUUUAGGGACAUGGUUGAUACUUGCAUGUUGGUAGACGGCUAUAAAGGCAUAUUCUGGACUUUUGAGAAGAAGGUGUCCGGUGGCUCUUUCACAAGAGUAAGGCUGGACAAGGCUCUCGGGUCGACUGAUUGGUGUGAGCUAUUCCCAUUGGCAUGCCUUAAUCACCUAACGGCAGCGACCUCGGACCAUGGUUCGAUCCAGCUAGAGCUACACCCGACCGCGCAGGGGGACCAGGUACGGGACAAACUUUUUCGCUAUGAAGUUGUUGGAAAUAUGCCCUAGAGGCAAUAAUAAAAGUAUUAUUAUUAUAUUUCCUUGUUCAUGAUAAUUGUCUCUUAUUCAUGCUAUAAUUGUAUUAUCCGGAAAUCGUAAUACACGUGUGAAUACAUAGACCACAAUACGUCCCUAGUAAGCCUCUAGUUGACUAGCUCGUUGGUCAACAGAUAGUCAUGGUUUCCUGACUAUGGACAUUAGAUGCCAUUGACAACGGGAUCACGUCAUUAGGAGAAUGACGUGAUAGACAAGACCCAAUCCUAAGCAUAGCACAAGAUCGUGUAGUUCGUUUUGCUAGAGCUUUUCCAAUGUCAAGUAUCUCUUCCUUAGACCAUGAGAUCGUGUAACUCCCGGAUACCGUAGGAGUGCUUUGGGUGUACCAAACGUCACAACGUAACUGGGUGACUAUAAAGGUGCACUACAGGUAUCUCCGAAAGUGUCUGUUGGGUUGACACGGAUCGAGACUGGGAUUUGUCACUCUGUAUGACGGAGAGGUAUCUCUGGGCCCACUCGGUAAUGCAUCAUCAUAAUGAGCUCAAAGUGACCAAGUGUCUGGUCACGGGAUCAUGCAUUACGGUACGAGUAAAGUGACUUGCCGGUAACGAGACUGAACGAGGUAUUGGGAUACCGACGAUCGAGUCUCGGGCAAGUAACGUACCGAUUGACAAAGGGAAUAGUAUACGGGGGUUGAUUGAAUCCUCGACAUCGUGGUUCAUCCGAUGACAUCAUCGAGGAGCAUGUGGGAGCCAACAUGGGUAUCCAGAUCCCGCUGUUGGUUAUUGACCGGAGAGCCGUCUCGGUCAUGUCUGCAUGUCUCCCGAACCCGUAGGGUCUACACACUUAAGGUUCGGUGAUGCUAGGGUUAUUAGGAAGACUUGUAUGUGAUUAACGAAUGUUGUUCGGAGUCCUGGAUGAGAUCCCGGAUGUCAUGAAGAGUUCCGGAAGGGUCCGGAGGUGAAGAUUUAUAUAUGGGAAGUUGUCAUGCGGACACCGGAAAGUUUCGGGGGCAUAUCGGUAUUGUACCGGGGCCACCGGAGGGGUUCCGGGGUUCCACCGGGAGGGGCCACCCCUCUUGGUGGGCCACAUGGGCCGCGUGGGGCAGGGAACCAGCCCCUGGAGGGCUGGGCGCCCCCCUUGGGCCCAUGCGCCUAGGGUUGGGGGGGGAACCCUAAAGGGGGUGCCCCCCUUUGCUUGGGGGGCAAGCCCCCUCCCUGGCCGCCGCCCCCCUCUAGAUCUCAUCUAGAGGGGGCCGGACCCCUUCCCCCUUCCCCUAUAAAUAGAGGGUUGAGGGGAGGGCUGAACACCUGAUCCAAGGCGCAGCCCCUCCCCUCCCCAACACCUCUCCUCCUUCGUUAGCACUUGGCGAAGCCCUGUCGGAGUACUGCCUCUCCACCAACACCACGCCGUCGUGCUGCUGCUGGAGCCUUCUUCCUCAACCUCUCCUUCCCCCUUGCUGGAUCAAGAAGGAGGAGACAUCGUCCGUACCGUACGUGUGUUGAACGCGGAGGUGCUGUCCGUUCAGCACUUGGUCAUCGGUGAUUUGAAUCACGGCGAGUACGACUCCAUCAUCACCGUUCCCUUGAACGCUUCCGCACGCGAUCUACAAAGUGGUAUGUAGAUGCAAUCUCUCUCCCAUGACUCGUUGCUUAGAUGAACUCAUAGAUGGAUCUUGGUGAAACCGUAGGAAAUUUUUUAAUUUUCUGCAACGUUCCCCAACAGUGGCAUCAUGAGCUAGGUCUUCGUAGUUCUCUAUUGCACGAGUAGAACACAAUUUUGUUGUGGGCGUAGAUCUUGUCAACUUGCUUUCCGCUACUAGUCUUUUCUUGCUUCAGCGGUAUUAUGGGAUGAAGCGGCCCGGACCGACCUUACACGUACGCUUACGUGAGACAGGUUCCACCGACCGACAUGCACUAGUUGCAUAAGGUGGCUAGCGGGUGUCUGUCUCUCCUACUUUAGUUGGAGCGGAUUAGAUGAAGAGGGUCCUUAUGAAGGGUAAAUAGAAGUUGACAAAAUCACGUUGUGGUUAUUCGUAGGUAAGAAAACGUUCUUGUUAGAACCCAAUUGCAGCCACGUAAAAGAUGCAACAACAAUUAGAGGACGUCUAACUUGUUUUUGCAGCAAUUGUCAUGUGAUGUGAUAUGGCCAGAAGUUGUGAUGAAUGAUGAAUGAUAUAUUGUGAUGUAUGAGAUCAUGUUCUUGUAAUAGGAAUCACGACUUGCAUGUCGAUGAAUAUGACAACCGGCAGGAGCCAUAGGAGUUGUCUUUAUUUUUCGUAUGACCUGCGUGUCAUUGAAGAACGCCAUGUAAAUUACUUUACUUUAUUGCUAAACGCGUUAGCUAUAGAAGUAGAAGUAGUCGUUGGCGUGACAACUUCAUGAAGACACAAUGAUGGAGAUCAUGAUGAUGGAGAUCAUGGUGUCAUGCCGGUGACGAAGAUGGAGAUCGAAGGAGCUAUAUGAUAUUGGCCAUAUCAUGUCACUACUAUAUAAUUGCAUGUGAUGUUUAUUAUGUUUUAUGCAUCUUGUUUACUUAGAACGGCGGUAGUAAAUAAGAUGGUCCCUUAUAAUAAUUUCAAGAAAGUGUUCCCCCUAACUGUGCACCGUUGUUAAAGUUCGUCGUUUCGAAGCACCACGUGAUGAUCGGGUGUGAUAGAUCCUUACGUUCACAUACAACGGGUGUAAGACAGAUUUACACAUGCAGAACACUUAGGGUUAACUUGACGAGCCUAGCAUGUACAGACAUGGCCUCGGAACACAGAGACCGAAAGGUCGAACAUGAGUCGUAUGGAAGAUACGAUCAACAUGGAGAUGUUCACCGAUGAUGACUAGUCCGUCUCACGUGAUGAUCGGACACGGCCUAGUCGACUCGGAUCGUGUAAACACUUAGAUGACUAGAGGGAUGUCUAAUCUGAGUGGGAGUUCAUUAAAUAAUUUGAUUAGAUGAACUUAAUUAUCAUGAACUUAGUUUAAAACUUUUGCAAAAUAUGUCUUGUAGAUCAAAUGGCCAACGCUCAUGUCAACAUGAACUUCAACGCGUUCCUAGAGAAAACCAAGCUGAAAGAUGAUGGCAGCAACUAUUCGGAUAGGGUUCGGAACCUGAGGAUCAUCCUCAUAGCAGCCAAGAAAGAUUAUGUCCUAGAUGCACCGCUAGGUGAAGCACCCAUCCCAGAGAACCAAGACGUUAUGAACACUUGGCAAUCACGUGCAGAUGAUUACUCCCUCGUUCAGUGCGGCAUGCUUUACAGCUUAGAACCGGGGCUCCAAAAGCGUUUUGAGAAGCACGGAGCAUAUGAGAUGUUCGAGGAGCUGAAAAUGGUUUUCCAAGCUCAUGCCCGGGUCGAGAGAUAUGAAGUCUCCGACAAGUUCUAUAGUUUUAAGAUGGAGGAAAACAGUUCUGUCAGUGAGCACAUACUCAAAAUGUCUGGGUUGCACAACCGCCUAUCCCAGUUGGAGAUCAAUCUCCCGGAAGAGGCGGUCAUUGACAGAAUCCUUUAGUCGCUCCCACCGAGCUACAAGAGCUUUGUGUUAAACUACAAUAUGCAGGGGAUGGUAAAGACCAUUCCUGAAGUAUUCUCAAUGCUAAAGUCAGCAGAGGUUGAAAUCAAGAAAGAACAUCAAGUGUUGAUGGUCAAUAAGACCACUAAGUUCAAGAAGGACAAGGGUAAGAAGAACUUCAAGAAGGACGGCAAAGAUGUUGCCGCGCCUGGUAAGCCAGUUGCUGGGAAGAAGUCAAAGAAUGGACCCAAGCCUGAGGCUGAGUGCUUUUAUUGCAAGGGGAAGGGUCACUGGAAGCGGAACUGCCCCAAAUACUUAGCGGACAAGAAGGCCGGCAACACUAAAGGUAUAUUUGAUAUACAUGUAAUUGAUGUGUACCUUACCAGUACUCGUAGUAACUCCUGGGUAUUUGAUACCGGUGCCGUUGCUCACAUUUGUAACUCACAGCAGGAGCUGCGAAAUAAGCGGAGACUGGCGAAGGACGAGGUGACGAUGCGCGUCGGGAAUGGUUCCAAGGUCGAUGUGAUCGCCGUCGGCACGCUACCUCUACAUUUACCUACGGGAUUAGUUUUAAACCUCAAUAAUUGUUAUUUAGUGCCAAGUUUGAGCAUGAACAUUGUAUCUGGAUCUCGUUUGAUACGAGAUGGCUACUCAUUUAAAUCCGAGAAUAAUGGUUGUUCUAUUUAUAUGAGAGAUAUGUUUUAUGGUCAUGCCCCGAUGGUCAAUGGUUUAUUCUUAAUGAAUCUCGAGCGUAAUGUUACACAUAUUCAUAGUGUGAAUACCAAAAGAUGUAAAGUUGAUAACGAUAGUCCCACAUACUUGUGGCACUGCCGCCUUGGUCACAUUGGUGUCAAGCGCAUGAAGAAGCUCCAUGCUGAUGGACUUUUAGAGUCUCUAGAUUAUGAAUCAUUUGACACAUGCGAACCAUGCCUCAUGGGCAAAAUGACCAAGACCCCGUUCUCCGGAACAAUGGAGCGAGCAACCAACUUAUUGGAAAUCAUACACACUAAUGUGUGUGGUCCAAUGAGCGUUGAGGCUCGCGGAGGAUAUCGUUAUGUUCUCACUCUCACUGAUGACUUGAGUAGAUAUGGGUAUGUCUACUUGAUGAAACACAAGUCUGGGACCUUUGAAAAGUUCAAGGAAUUUCAAAAUGAAGUAGAGAAUCAACGUGAUCGAAAGAUAAAAUUCUUACGAUCGGAUCAUGGAGGAGAAUAUUUAAGUCACGAAUUUGGUACACACUUAAGAAAAUGUGGAAUCAUUUCACAACUCACGCCGCCUGGAACACCUCAGCGUAACGGUGUGUCCGAACGUCGUAAUCGCACUCUAUUGGAUAUGGUGCGAUCUAUGAUGUCCCUUACCGAUUUACCGCUAUCAUUUUGGGGAUACGCUCUAGAGACAGCUACAUUCACUUUAAAUAGGGCACCGUCUAAAUCCGUUGAGAUAACACCGUAUGAAUUAUGGUUUGGGAAGAAACCUAAGCUGUCGUUUCUGAAAGUUUGGGGAUGCGAUGCUUAUGUCAACAAACUUCAACCUGAAAAGCUCGAACCCAAGUCAGAAAAUGCGUCUUCAUUGGAUACCCCAAAGAAACCAUUGGGUAUACCUUCUACUUAAGAUCCGAGGGCAAGAUCUUUGUUGCCAAGAACGGAUCCUUUCUGGAAAAAGAGUUUCUCUCGAAAGGAGUAAGUGGGAGGAAAGUAGAACUCGAUGAAGUACUACCUCUUGAACCGGAAAGUAGUGCAGCUCAGGAAAACGUUCCUGUGGUGCCUACACCGAAUGGAGAGGAAAUUAAAGAUGAUGAUCAAGGUACUUCUGAUCAAGUUGCUACUGAACUUCGUAGGUCCACAAGGACACGUUCCACACUAGAGUGGUAUGGCAACCCUGUCCUGGAAAUCAUGUUGUUAGACAACGAUGAACCUUCGAACUAUGAAGAAGCGGUGGCAGGCCCAGAUUCCAACAAAUGGCUUGAAGCCAUGCAAUCUGAGAUAGAAUCCAUGUAUGAAAACAAAGUAUGGACUUUGACUGACUUGCCCGAUGAUCGGCGAGCGAUAGAAAACAAAUGGAUCUUUAAGAAGAAGACGGACGCGGAUGGUAAUGUCACCAUCUAUAAAGCUCGACUUGUCGCUAAGGGUUAUCGGCAAGUUCAAGGGAUUGACUACGAUGAGACUUUCUCUCCCGUAGCGAAGCUUAAUGUCACGCCCAAUAUGCGACCCUAUCCAAAAGGAACGCGAAGGUCCCAUCAAGGAUAGACCCGCAUAUUGAAACGCUUUUGCAAGGUGGAUAUCAUUACAUCAACAUUACAUAAUAGAUGGGGAUACAUACAUAAGGCAUACAAUGCCACACGAAUACAACAUCACAAUACAUAGAGCAUCACACAACUACGGAUGAAACACAAACAGAAACUCAAACGACAUCCACCCUGCUAGCCCAGGCUGCCGACCUGGAACCUAUCCCCCGAUCGAAGGAGCAGAAGAAGAACUCAACGCAAGCAAGCAUCGCUCUCGCGUCAUGAUCAUCGCACAACCUGUACCUGCAACUGUUGUUGUAGUAAUCUGUGAGCCAUGAG